rnacentral:misc_RNA from 1 species
GAUGAAGAACGCAGCGAAAUGCGAUAAGUAGUGUGAAUUGCAGAAUUCCGUGAAUCAUCGAAUCUUUGAACGCACAUUGCGCCUCCUGGUAGUCCGGGAGGCAUGCCUGUUCGAGCGUCACCAAAUCCAACUCAAGCGGUUUUGCGCUUGGUCGUGGCGGAAGAGUCGGUCUGGUUGCCGUCUCCCCUCCGAAAAUCAACGGCGGAAAGUCACUGGCAGUCAGCGUAGUAGUAUCGUUCGCCGAACAUCCAGUGGCAUUCCUGCCGACGUACCCCCACAAUUCUCGUGAUUGACCUCGGAUCAGGUAGGGAUACCCGCUGAACUUAAGCAUAUCAAUAACGGAGGA